rnacentral:rRNA from 1 species
UACGUAGGGUGCAAGCGUUUGUCCGGAAUUAUUGGGCGUAAAGAGCUCGUAGGCGGUUUGUCACGUCGGAUGUGAAAACCCGAGGCUUAACCUCGGGCCUGCAUUCGAUACGGGCUGACUAGAGUUCGGUAGGGGAGACUGGAAUUCCUGGUGUAGCGGUGAAAUGCGCAGAUAUCAGGAGGAACACCGGUGGCGAAGGCGGGUCUCUGGGCCGAUACUGACGCUGAGGCGCGAAAGCCAGGGGAGCGAACGGG